GAGCCGCGUGGCUUAGUGGUUCAGUACUUGCACUGCCACUCACGUGGUCAGGAGUUCGAUCCCCCUGUGGGUCA
rnacentral:tRNA from 1 species